CCUACGGGAGGCAGCAGUGGGGAAUCUUGCGCAAUGGUCGAAAGACUGACGCAGCCAUGCCGCGUGAAUGAUGAAGGUCUUAGGAUUGUAAAAUUCUUUCAGCAGGGACGCGGUACCUGCAGAAGAAGCCCCGGCUAACUUCGUGCCAGCAGCCGCGGUAAUACGAAGGGGGCUAGCGUUGCUCGGAAUUACUGGGCGUAAAGGGAGCGUAGGCGGGUUAUCAAGUUGGAGGUGAAAGCCCAGGGCUCAACCUUGGAAUUGCCUUCAAAACUGAUAGCCUAGAGUAUGAUAGAGGUAAGUGGAACUCCGAGUGUAGAGGUGAAAUUCGUAGAUAUUCGGAAGAACACCAGUGGCGAAGGCGACUUACUGGAUAUACUGACGCUGAGGCUCGAAAGCGUGGGGAGCAAACAGGAUUAGAUACCCUUGUAGUC
rnacentral:rRNA from 1 species